rnacentral:rRNA from 1 species
AUUGAACGCUGACGGCCGGCUUAACACCUGCACGUCGACCGAGCGGCGGACGGGUGACUAAUGUAUGGGGACUGCCAGAUAGAGGCGGAUAACUACUGGAAACGGUGUCUACUACCGCAUUAUAUCGGAUAACCCAUAUGGGAUUAGCUAGUAGGUGGGGUCAAGGCGCACCCAGGCGACGCUCUCUAGCUGGUCUGAGAGGAGGUGGAGGCCACCGUGAAAUGAGAAACGGCCCAGACUACUACGGAGGCAGCAGUGGGGAAGAUUGCACAAUGGGCGCAAGCCUGAUGCAGCCAUGCCGCGUGUAUGAAGAAGGCCUUAGGGUUUUAAAGUACUUUCAGCGGGGAGGCGUUACCCGCAGAAGAAGCACCGGCUAACUCAGAGCCAGCAGCCGCGGUAAGUC